GGGAGUAGAUAGGUGCUGGUGUGCCUACUGGACUUCAAAUCCAGCUUCGGGUGUUAAGAGCAUCCGGGGUGGGUUCGAUUCCCACAUACUCCCGCCA
rnacentral:tRNA from 1 species